AAAACACCGGUUUUCGUGCGAUCAGCGAAGUUAAGCAACGUUGAACCUAAUCAGUACUAGAUGGGUAACCACUUGGAAAUACCAGGUGCUGUAAG